UGAUAGGCCGGGUGUGGAAGCGCAGCAAUGCGUGAAGCUUACCGGUACUAAUCGCUCGAUUGGCUUGAUCGU
rnacentral:rRNA from 1 species